rfam:Asian citrus Psyllid, Diaphorina citri - Florida Strain, whole genome shotgun sequence.
GCCUAGUUAGCUUAGUUGGUAGUGCGUCUGCCUUGUAAGCGCUAGGUCGCGGGUUCGAUUCCCGCUCGGGGCG